UAGGGAAUCUUCCACAAUGGACGCAAGUCUGAUGGAGCAACGCCGCGUGAGUGAAGAAGGUUUUCGGACCGUAAAGCUCUGUUGUUGGUGAAGAAGGAUAGAGGUAGUAACUGGCCUUUAUUUGACGGUAAUCAACCAGAAAGUCACGGCUAACUACGUGCCAGCAGCCGCGGUAAUCGUAGGUGGCAAGCGUUGUCCGGAUUUAUUGGGCGUAAAGCGAGCGCAGGCGGAAGAAUAAGUCUGAUGUGAAAGCCCUCGGCUUAACCGAGGAAUUGCAUCGGAAACUGUUUUCUUGAGUGCAGAAGAGGAGAGUAGAACUCCAUGUGUAGCGGUGGAAUGCGUAGAUAUAUGGAAGAAUACCAGUGGCGAAGGCGGCUCUCUGGUCUGCAACUGACGCUGAGGCUCGAAAGCAUGGGUAGCGAACAGGAUUAGAUACCCUGGUAGUCCAUGCCGUAAACGAUGAGUGCUAAGUGUUGGGAGGCUUCCGCCUCUCAGUGCUGCAGCUAACGCAUUAAGCACUCCGCCUGGGAAGUACGACCGCAAGGUUGAAAC
rnacentral:rRNA from 1 species